rnacentral:rRNA from 1 species
UACGUAGGGUGCGAGCGUUGUCCGGAAUUACUGGGCGUAAAGAGCUCGUAGGCGGUUUGUCGCGUCGUCCGUGAAAACUUGGGGCUCAACCCCAAGCUUGCGGGCGAUACGGGCAGACUUGAGUACUGCAGGGGAGACUGGAAUUCCUGGUGUAGCGGUGAAAUGCGCAGAUAUCAGGAGGAACACCGAUGGCGAAGGCAGGUCUCUGGGCCGACUACUGACGCUGAGACACGAAAGCGUGGGUAGCAAACAGG